UACGGCCACAUCACGUUGAAACAUCGAUUUCCGUGCGAUCACCGAUAUUAAGCAAUAUUGUGCCUGGUCAGUACUUAGAUUGGUGACCGCUUGGGAAUAUCAGGUGCU